UAGGUGGGCGUGCGUAAUCUGUUUCCGGUUGUUUGCUGGGAGUAGGCGCCGUGGUAGAUAACCCUCUCCUCUCUGGGUAAAGUGGGUGAUUGGAGCAGAAUCUGUGAUAUAUUCAGACUAAUGUGAACUGUCUGGCAGCUGAGCCUGAUGUAGUUGAGAUGCAGUGCCCGUGGACCUCUGGUUUCUAAUGGAUGGUGAAAACUUCCGCUGGAUACUUUGGAAUUUAGAAAAACUACCUGCAUCCAAACCGCAGCCCCAGACCACAUGAUUUCCUUGUGACAAGGUUCUGCCCACACUCAAGAGGAAAGCAUUCUAUAGCGUGUGGUCCCUAGGAGCCGGGAAUUAGGGAUCGUCUUAAAAUUCUGCCUGAAAGUAUAGCUCUCUAUCCUGAAGACUUCAGACCAAGUGGUAAGGCUGCUAAGAAACUUGCCACACAGAGUUCCAGUGCUAUUCAUGCAACAUAAAGGAGUGAAAGAGGACAAUCAAACUUGGUUUCAUUUUGAGAGUUCAAGAAGGGGUGAAUAAAAGAAUAAAAAGUCAUUCUGGAAAAAAUGAAUUAUUUGAAAGCUCAGCUGGAAUAAGGUUGUCUUCUUGGUAUCAAGAUUUAACUUCAUAAAGCAACCUGUUACAAAGUGACAAUGAGUCCUAGUUGCAACCAAGUGUGCGAAAUGACAAGCUGCCCUCCAAGUGAUCAAGGCCCCCCAAACAUCUAAUGUUCAGUUUAUCCUGCAGCGUGGAAGAUAGGAGCUGCCCUGUGUGUGACAAGUUCUUCAGAGAGACUGGUUUCAAAGAGGAGAUGGUGCACAUGAAAGGAAGACAUGAGUUCUCCCUGCAAUGCUGGGGCCACACACAUGCAGGGGUGGCCGGCAAUCAUAUCCUACCUGUGAGCCCAUGAGCAGCGGGUGCAGACCUUGGAGCUGAAAGGCACAUGGGGAACCACAGCAAAGUUAGGGUAUCAAGGGCUUAUCCUCGGAACACUGGCAGAAGUGCUUGC